GAUGAACGCUGGCGGCGUGCCUAAUACAUGCAAGUCGAGCGAAUGGAUUAAGAGCUUGCUCUUAUGAAGUUAGCGGCGGACGGGUGAGUAACACGUGGGUAACCUGCCCAUAAGACUGGGAUAACUCCGGGAAACCGGGGCUAAUACCGGAUAACAUUUUGAACCGCAUGGUUCGAAAUUGAAAGGCGGCUUCGGCUGUCACUUAUGGAUGGGCCCGCGUCGCAUUAGCUAGUUGGUGAGGUAACGGCUCACCAAGGCAACGAUGCGUAGCCGACCUGGGAGGGGGAUGGGCCACACUGGGACUGGGACAGGCCCCAGACUCCUACGGGAGGCAGCAGUAGGGAAUCUUCCGCAAUGGACGAAAGUCUGACGGAGCAACGCCGCGUGAGUGAUGAAGGCUUUCGGGUCGUAAAACUCUGUUGUUAGGGAAGAACAAGUGCUAGUUGAAUAAGCUGGCACCUUGACGGUACCUAACCAGAAAGCCACGGCUAACUACGUGCCAGCCGCCGCCGUAA
rnacentral:rRNA from 1 species